ensembl:snoRNA
UCCCAAAGUGUUGAGUUCAGUUCAGGGCUGCUCCCCUGAUCUGGUAAUUGAACUUUGGGAUAUCGAAAUGGGCCUAGGGUAAAUAAGUGGAUAGAAAGCAUUCCUCUCUAUUCAUCUCUACCCCAGCCUACAGCA